AAUGUAUUUAGCAAGUAAUGUAGGCCUUGUUUGGUCAAACCGCUAUUUUCCUGACCACGAGCUUGCUCACUUACACCCGUUACCCGACCGAGAAAGCAACACGAUGCUUGUAAACCUAACACUGAUACCUCACCACGUGUUGAUCGUGUACAAGGGCUGGUACUGCUCUGGAAGCCUGACGAGUAGCAGAAUCGUGAUAACAGCUGCCAGCUGCUUCUCAAGAAGGAAAUGCGAGGCAGUUACUGUUAAAGUUGGCGCAGAAUCAAUGACAGCAAAUGGGCAGGUAAUACCGGUGUUGGAUGUUAAGAAGCAUGAAUAUUUCCAGCGGAUAAGUAUCACGGACAAUGAUAUUGCAUUGUUAAUAUUAAAGGAACAUGUAAUUUUUCAUGAAAAAGUGAAGAAAAUAUUGUAUUUGGACCAAGACGUGGUAGUACCAGAUAACACCCCACUUUGUGUGAUUGGUUGGGGUGGAACGGAUCAACCAGUGAGAAACUUAAAUAUGCCUCUUCGUUCGGAAAUGACUGUGAUUUCGAGAGACGACUGUAUGCGGUUAUACGGGCGUCUUGUGACACCGUCAAACUUCUGUGUCCGAUAUAAUACGCAACAUCGGCUGAGUGAUAACGGUGGCAGCGUUAUAUACCAGAAUUGGCUGGUGGGAGUUCUGUCAGCUGGUGGCACCAGUACCCGAACACCUAAUAUUGCUAUCGUCACUAAUAUAUCCUACUUCAACAGAUGGAUACAUUUAAACACGGUCACCUUACUCAGAAAAUAUUGUACAGAGGAUAGUAUGGACAACUACAGCUUCAUUUCUUUUGAAAAAUAGUUUUUUUUAUAAUCUUAAAUAUAUGACUUGAAUUAUUAAAAUUACUCAGAAUAUAUUCCAUCAUCGUCAUCACUUCAGACAAAAGACGUCCACUACUGGACAAUGACCUGCCCCAAAGAUCUCGAUGACUAUUGGCCCUGCGCUGCCCUCAUCCAAUCUAUCCUGGCAAUCUUGACCACAUCGUCGGUCCAUCUUGUGGGGGGCCUACCAACACUACGUCUUCCGGUAUGUGGUCGCCAUUCGAGGACUUUUCUGCCCCAACGGCCAUCCAUCGAGCUAUGUGCCCUGCUCACUGCCACUCCAGUUUCGCAUUCAUCUGGGCUGUGUCGGUGACAUCGAUUCUCUUACGGAUCUUAUUUCUGAUUCGCUUCUCUCCAUCUCCCUCUGAGCGACCACGUUUGCGUUGAAAUUUAAAAAAAAUCAUCAGUUUUGAUUACAGACAAUAUGUAAAAAAAUAUUGGUGUAGAUGCGGUCGGUUGCGGACAAGUUUCCACAAUUAGAUAUACAAUACACCAAUUAUAAAAAAUAUAUACAACCACUCCCACUCCCAAUUAUACAUACACCUUAGGGACGAGGAGAUGACUGAAUAACAACGCUACAUGGAUCCCAUGUCACUACUUACACUCUGGAGUAAAAUAUUGCCGCCUAUGGAGUAUCCAGGGAACAAAAUGAUUUAGGUUUUUUAACAUUUGAUCUGAAGAGCUCUCUCAAGUUGUAUCAUGGGAAACAUGUAAUUUUAUGGCAAGAUGAAAACGCAAUUUCAGAUUUUAGGGUCAUGUAAGGCGUCUGUUCUGACAUGGCUAUGCCACUUGUGAUGUUUAUAAGACUAUACGCCAGCGCGAGAUAAUGGCUGGUUGAAGGAACCAACAACAAAAUUGAUUCAUCACCUACUUUGCUGAUAUUUCUUUAAAACUAGUUUUCAUAAAAACAGUUAGGUUUUGAAUAUGAAUAAAAUUGCGUCAUUACCGAUCAAAGAUGCAUGCAGAAAAAUGCAAUUAUAGCCUUUGUUAUCACUGCACUAGAUAUAUUUUUAGAUAAAGCUGUUAUGAUUUGAAUUUAUUUCAUAACCCUGACUCUUUUUAAUACAGAAAAAGCAUAUGUUAAAAAGAAAAAUUUGUGAAGGUGCAUACAAACUAGUGAAACGUAACAUAAAAUGUAACAUUUAAAUUUACAUGUAACAUGAAAAUCCGACAGAUCACGGGUCGCUCGUAGCGUACGCGUGAAAUGCUCGAUUCGCGCGUAGGUACAAGACGUUCAAACUUUGAGAAAUUGUCACAAAGUGUGUUACCUUUCGUGACAUAUGAUGAUGUGUACGGCGAACCUUUCAUUGCAUGAUACAUAUCAUGUAACAUUACAGCAAUCUGCACGCAGUAUUAAAAAAGAAAAAUUAGGGAGUAAAUCAGAGGGUCGAUGCGUAGCCGAUUGUUAGAAUAACGAUUGAAAGCCAUGGUGCUUUGGUUUUAGGCUUAAGUACUAGCCCCACAGAACCCAAACCGUUUGAAACACUAAACACUAAAUUUUCUAUUGAUAAAAUAAAGCUUAUCUUAUUCUUC